UACGUAGGUGGCAAGCGUUGUUCGGAAUUACUGGGCGUAAAGGGCUCGUAGGUGGCCAACUAAGUCAGACGUGAAAUCCCUCGGCUUAACCGGGGAACUGCGUCUGAUACUGGAUGGCUUGAGUUUGGGAGAGGGAUGCGGAAUUCCGGGUGUAGUGGUGGAAUGCGUAGAGAUCCGGAGGAACACCAGCGGCGAAGGCGGCAUCCUGGACUGGUCCUGACACUCAGGAGCGAAAGCGUGGGGAGCGAUCCGG
rnacentral:rRNA from 1 species